rnacentral:rRNA from 1 species
UACGGAGGGGGCGAGCGUUAUUCGGAAUUAUUGGGCGUAAAGGGCGCGUAGGCGGCUGUACAAGUCAAAGGUGAAAUCCCUCGGCUCAACUGAGGAACUGCCUUUGAAACUGUACGGCUUGAGGCCGGGAGGGGGUAGCGGAAUUCCCAGUGUAGCGGUGAAAUGCGUAGAUAUCAGGAAGAACACCCGUGGCGAAGGCGGCUCUCUGGGACGGUACUGACGCUGAGGAGCGAAAGCAUGGGGAGCGAACAGG